UUACGCGGAUCCCUAGAUUGUCUGCUCAGACGACGCUGCGCUGCUAUACAUCAGUCGACGAACUUCUACCCGAUGCUGCAUCACGUAGAAGUGAGUGCGGACGGUGAGUAACACGUGGUUACCUGCCUAAAAGAAGGGGAUAACACUUGGAAACAGGUGCUAAUACCGUAUAUCUCUAAGGAUCGCAUGAUUCUUAGAUAAAAGAUGGUUCUGCUAUCGCUUUUAGAUGGACCCGCGGCGUAUUAACUAGUUGGUGGGGUAACGGCCUACCAAGGUGAUGAUACGUAGCCGAACUGAGAGGUUGAUCGGCCACAUUGGGACUGAGACACGGCCCAAACUCCUACGGGAGGCAGCAGUAGGGAAUCUUCCACAAUGGACGCAAGUCUGAUGGAGCAACGCCGCGUGAGUGAAGAAGGUCUUCGGAUCGUAAAGCUCUGUUGUUAGAGAAGAACACGAGUGAGAGUAACUGUUCAUUCGAUGACGGUAUCUAACCAGCAAGUCACGGCUAACUACGUGCCAGCAGCCGCGGUAAUACGUAGGUGGCAAGCGUUAUCCGGAUUUAUUGGGCGUAAAGCGAGCGCAGGCGGUUGCUUAGGUCUGAUGUGAAAGCCUUCGGCUUAACCGAAGAAGGGCAUCGGAAACCGGGCGACUUGAGUGCAGAAGAGGACAGUGGAACUCCAUGUGUAGCGGUGGAAUGCGUAGAUAUAUGGAAGAACACCAGUGGCGAAGGCGGCUGUCUGGUCUGCAACUGACGCUGAGGCUCGAAAGCAUGGGUAGCGAACAGGA
rnacentral:rRNA from 1 species